ensembl:snRNA U1 U1 spliceosomal RNA
ACUCAUACCUGGCAGGGGAGAUACCAUGAUCAUAAAAGUGGUUUUCCCAGGGUAAGGCUCAUCCACUGCACUUUAGGUGUGCUGAUCCCUGUGAUUUCCCCAAACGUGGGAAAAUCAACUGCCUAAUUUAUGCUAGUGGGGGACUGUGUUUGUGGUUUCCCAUA